rnacentral:rRNA from 1 species
GUGUCAGCAGCCGCGGUAAUACGUAGGGGGCAAGCGUUGUCCGGAAUCAUUGGGCGUAAAGCGCGUGUAGGCGGCUCGGUAAGUCCGCUCUGAAAGUCCAGGGCUCAACCCUGGGAUGCGGGUGGAUACUGCCGGGCUCGAGUCCGGAAGAGGCGAGUGGAAUUCCCGGUGUAGCGGUGAAAUGCGCAGAUAUCGGGAGGAACACCAAUGGCGAAGGCAGCUCGCUGGGACGUGACUGACGCUGAGACGCGAAAGCGUGGGGAGCAAACAGGAUUAGAUACCCUGGUAGUCC